rnacentral:rRNA from 1 species
UACGUAGGUGACCAGCGUUGUCCGGAUUUACUGGGCGUAAAGAGCGCGCAGGCGGUCGUUCAAGUCGAGUGUGAAAGCCCCCGGCUCAACUGGGGAGGGUCAUUCGAUACUGAUCGACUUGAAGGCAGGAGAGGGAAGUGGAAUUCCCGGUGUAGUGGUGAAAUGCGUAGAUAUCGGGAGGAACACCAGUGGCGAAGGCGACUCUUUGGUCUGUAACUGACGCUGAGGCGCGAAAGCGUGGGGAGCGAACAGG